GCCGAAGUGGCGGAAUUGGCAGACGCGCGUGGUUUAGGUCCACGUGCCCGUAAGGGUGUGCGGGUUCAAGUCCCGCCUUCGGCACCA
rnacentral:tRNA from 1 species